AUUGAACGCUGGCGGCAGGCCUAACACCUGCAAGUCGAACGAGUGGCGGACGGGUGAGUAAUGUCUGGGAAACUGCCUGAUGGAGGGGGAUCACUACUGGAAACGGUAGCUAAUACCGCAUACCAUCGGAUGUGCCCAGCUGGGAUGAGCUAGUAGGUGGGGUAAAGGCUAACCUAGGCGACGAUCCCUAGCUGGUCUGAGAGGAUGACCAGCCAGACUGGAACUGAGAAACGGUCCAGACUCUGACGGGAGGCAGGAGUGGGGAAUAAUGCACAAGGGGCGCAAGCCUGAUGCAGCCAUGCCGCGUGUAUGAAGAAGGCCUGCGGGUUGUAAAGUACUGUCAGCUGGGAGGCGUUACCCGCAGAAGAAGCUCCGGCGAACUCCGUGCCAGCAGCCGCGGUAAUAC
rnacentral:rRNA from 1 species